UAGGUAGGGGGCAAGCGUUGUCCGGAAUCAUUGGGCGUAAAGAGCUCGUAGGCGGCUUGUCGCGUCGUCCGUGAAAACCUGCGGCUCAACUGCAGGCUGGCGGUCGAUACGGGCAGGCUGGAGUUCGGUAGGGGAGACUGGAAUUCCUGGUGUAGCGGUGAAAUGCGCAGAUAUCAGGAGGAACACCAGUGGCGAAGGCGGCUCACUGGUCCAUUACUGACGCUGAGGUGCGAAAGCGUGGGGAGCAAACAGG
rnacentral:rRNA from 1 species